rnacentral:rRNA from 1 species
UGGGUAACCUGCCUCAAAGAGGGGAAUAGCCUCCCGAAAGGGAGAUUAAUACCGCAUAAUAUGUUUAAGUCGCAUGACUUUAACAUCAAAGGAUUUUCUUUUAGAAAUUCCACUUUGAGAUGGACCCGCGGCGCAUUAGCUAGUUGGUGAGGUAACGGCUCACCAAGGCAACGAUGCGUAGCCGACCUGAGAGGGUGAUCGACCACAUUGGAACUGAGACACGGUCCAGACUCCUAGGAGG